CCUACGGGGGGCAGCAGUAAGGAAUAUUGGGCAAUGGACGCAAGUCUGACCCAGCCAUGCCGCGUGGAGGAUGAAGGCCCUCUGGGUUGUAAACUUCUUUUCUCUGGGGCGAAAAACAGGUUUUCUAACUUGCUUGACAGUACCAGAGGAAUAAGCACCGGCUAACUCCGUGCCAGCAGCCGCGGUAAUACGGAGGGUGCAAGCGUUAUCGGGAUUCAAGGGGUUUAAAGGGUGCAUGGAAGGGGGCGUAGAAAUCCCCGAGCUUAACUUGGGAACUGCCAUUGAUACUAUCUCCCUUGAAUACCUUGGAGGUAAGCGGAAUAUGUCAUGUAGCGGUGAAAUGCUUAGAUAUGACAUAGAACACCAAUUGCGAAGGCAGCUUACUACACGGUCAUUGACACUGAGGCACGAAAGCGUGGGGAUCAAACAGGAUUAGAUACCCCUGUAGUC
rnacentral:rRNA from 1 species